GAUGAACGCUGGCGGCGUGCUUAACACAUGCAAGUCGAGCGGGCAAUUUAUCUAGCACUGAUUACUUCAAAUGGAAAUCAUAAGUGUAAUCAUGAAUUUCUACCUUUAAUAAAGAAAAAGAAAUUCAUGUACGCAAAUAGUGAUAACACAUUUUAGUGGAGUGAUGAGUGCUGGAUAAAUUGCUAGCGGCGGACGGGUGCGUAACACGUGGGUAACCUGCCCCUAUCACUGGGAUAACACACUGAAAAGUGUGCUAAUACCAGAUAAUAUAAGCUUUUGGCAUCAUUAGCUUAUCAAAGAAUUUCGGAUAGGGAUGGGCCCGCGUCUGAUUAGCUAGUUGGUGAGGUAACGGCCCACCAAGCCGACGAUCAGUAGCCGACCUGAGAGGGUGACCGGCCACAUUGGGACUGAGACACGGCCCAAACUCCUACGGGAGGCAGCAGUGGGGAAUAUUGGACAAUGGGGGAAACCCUGAUCCAGCGACGCCGCG
rnacentral:rRNA from 1 species